CGCCUCUUGAUUCACUAUAAGAGGUCCAGCCUGCCCAGUGACCAUGUUCAACGGCCGCGGUAUCCUAACCGUGCGAAGGUAGCGUAAUCACUUGUUCUUUAAAUGUGGACUAGUAUGAACGGCAUCACGAAGGUUAUACUGUCUCCUUUUUCUAAUCAGUGAAACUAAUCUCCCCGUGAAGAAGCGGGGAUAAGAUUAUAAGACGAGAAGACCCUAUGGAGCUUUAAACAACACAGCACUUACCAAAGAAUUUUUAAAUUUCUGAACACUUUAACUCUUUCAAGUAAAAUGACUGUAAGUUUUUGGUUGGGGUGACCACGGAGUAAAACACAACCUCCAUGUUGAAAGAAUUUUUUCUAAGCCAAGAAUAACCAAUCUAAGCAUUAACAAAUUAACAUCUAUUGACCCAAUAAAUUUGAUCAACGAACCAAGUUACCCUAGGGAUAACAGCGCAAUCCACUUCAAGAGCUCCUAUCGACAAGUGGGUUUACGACCUCGAUGUUGGAUCAGGGUAUCCCAGUGGUGCAGCCGCUACUAAAGGUUCGUUUGUUCAACGAUUAAAACCCU
rnacentral:rRNA from 1 species